AGAGUUUGAUCAUGGCUCAGAAUCAACGCUGGCGGCGUGCCUCAGACAUGCAAGUCGAACGAUUAAAGCUCCCUUCGGGGAGUGCAUAAAGUGGCGCACGGGUGAGUAACACGUAAGUAAUCUACCUUCGAGUGGGGAAUAACGUUCGGAAACGGACGCUAAUACCGCAUAAUGCAGCGGCAUCGCAAGAUGACAGUUGUUAAAGAUUUAUUGCUUGAAGAGGAGCUUGCGGCAGAUUAGCUAGUUGGUAAGGUAAUGGCUUACCAAGGCUACGAUCUGUAUCCGGUCUAAGAGGACGGUCGGACACACUGACACUGAAUAACGGGUCAGACUCCUACGGGAGGCAGCAGUCGGGAAUUUUGGGCAAUGGGGGAAACCCUGACCCAGCAACGCCGCGUGAAGGAUGAAGUAUUUCGGUAUGUAAACUUCGAAAGAAUAGGAAGAAUAAAUGACGGUACUAUUAUAAGCUCCGGCUAACUACGUGCCAGCAGCCGCGGUA
rnacentral:rRNA from 1 species